rnacentral:lncRNA from 1 species
UCCAUCUUGAAUCGCUUUAGAAUAUCUUUUGCAUAUUUCUUUUGCGAAAUAAAUAUUCCUCCAUUAGUCUGCAUCACUUCUAGUCCAAGAAAAUAAGACGAUUUCCAUUUCAGUCAUUUCAAAGUUGCUAGUCAUGGUCUCCCUAAAUUCUGCAAACAUACUUGGAUAAUCUCCUGUAAAAAUCAAAUCAUCAACAUACAAACAUAUAAUAAUCAUAUUUCCAUGUGAAUUAGAUUUGAUAUACAAUGUGGGUUCAUACGAACACUUAAGAAAACCAUUUUCUUGGAAAUACGUGUUAAUCUGAGUGUACUAAUCCCCCGUCGCCUUUUUAACCCGUAGAGAGGCUUUUUCAAUUUGAGAAUUUUUCCUUGGUGUCCUUUCUACCCAUAACCAUUUGGCUGAUCGACAUAGACCUCUUCUUCAAGAAAACCAUUUAGAAAUGCAUAUUUCACAUCCAUCUAAUGUAUCUACCAUUUCUUUUGAGCGGCUAGUGCAAUAUUAUACGAAUGGUAUCAAGUCGAGCUACAGGUGCAAAAAUUUCAUAAUAGUCAAUACCUGCCUUUUGCUUGUACCCUCUUACAACCAAUCGAGCCUUCAUCCGAUUGACUUGACCAUCUAGUUUGAACUUUGUUUUGUAAACCCAUUUUACACCAAUUGACUUCUUUCCUUGCGGCAAAGAAGUUAGCUCCCAUGUAAUAUUUUUAACUAUUGAAUGAAUUUCUUCAUCUAUAGCACGAAUCCAUUUAUCAACUUGAGCUGCUUCUGCAAAAGCAAGAGGAUCACAAUCUGCAAAUAAUGCAAAAUUUUACUAAUUCCUCAUUAGAAACAUCAUUAUCAUUGGCUAUGAUAUAAUCUUGCACAUAAGCUAGCAUAACAUGCCUUUUAGUUGAACCAUGAGACUUCAGUAUGAGCCAAAGAAGUAGAAUGAUCU